CAAAGAUUCAUUCUCAGUUUUCCUUUGCAAAUUUUAUGCACUCUCAUCCAUAUCCUAGAUAUAACCACUACCUUGGAGCUGAUAAAUCUAACAUAAUCAUGUGAGCUUUAGAUCCAUUUGUUUUUCUACUUCUCAUCUUCACUUAGCCAAAGUGGGCCUGAAACUUGGAUCUCUCUUCAAGUCUCUCCAACACAUCAACCAGUGAGACACAUCUUAGAAAUUCUACUAUAUUUGAGCAAUGGAAUAACUGCUCACUAAUCAGAACAUAAAGGAAAAGUUCUUAUUUGUCCAGUUUUGAAAACCACGAUGGCAAGUAAGGUGUCUGGAUCACUCUACUCAGUCAAGAGAAGUUUCCCCAGAGACCAUCCAACAGCUGUCUAGUAGUUUCAAUUCAAUUGUUUGAUGAUAUGUCAACAAGAAGAAGUUCAAGCAUGAUCACCAUGAGAAUGCUAGGUGAAUGUUUCCUGUCUGAAAUUUCUUCCCAAAGAUUUAUAGUAUCAGGCAAACAAAUAUUGCCUAUGUUUAUGAUGGUUUCCAUCCAGAGUGAAUGGGAAGCUGAAAAGGAAGUAAGACAAGUACAUGUUACCUUGGAGCAAACAUGAUUUUAAAUGCCAUUGUGUUUAAAAUAAAACACUGUGUUUGA